rnacentral:rRNA from 1 species
GACGGGUGAGUAACGCGUGGGAACGUGCCCUUUACUACGGAAUAGCUUCUGGAAACGGAAGGUAAUACCGUAUACGCCCUUCGGGGGAAAGAUUUAUCGGUGAAGGAUCGGCCCGCGUUAGAUUAGAUAGUUGGUGGGGUAAUGGCCUACCAAGUCUACGAUCUAUAGCUGGUCUGAGAGGAUGAUCAGCCACACUGGGACUGAGACACGGCCCAGACUCCUACGGGAGGCAGCAGUGGGGAAUCUUGCACAAUGGGCGAAAGCCUGAUGCAGCCAUGCCGCGUGAAUGAUGAAGGCCUUAGGGUUGUAAAAUUCUUUCGCCAGGGAUGAUAAUGACAGUACCUGGUAAAGAAGCCCCGGCUAACUUCGUGCCAGCAGCCGCGGUAAUACGAAGGGGGCUAGCGUUGUUCGGAAUUACUGGGCGUAAAGCGCGCGUAGGCGGGCUGUUAAGUCAGAUGUGAAAGCCCGGGGCUCAACCCCGGAACUGCAUUUGAAACUAGCAGCCUAGAGACCAGGAGAGGUUAGCGGAAUACCGAGUGUAGAGGUGAAAUUCGUAGAUAUUCGGUGGAACACCAGUGGCGAAGGCGGCUAACUGGACUGGUACUGACGCUGAGGCGCGAAAGUGUGGGGAGCAAACAGGAUUAGAUACCCUCGUAGUCCAUGCCGUAAACGAUGUGUGUUAGACGUUGGA